GCCUGGGUGGCUCAGUCGGUUGGGCGUCUGACUUCGGCUCAGGUCAUGAUCUCGCGGUCUGUGAGUUCAAGCCCCAUGUCAGGCU
rnacentral:tRNA from 1 species